GGACACCCUCCCCUGACAGCGACGGGCACCCCCCCACACACAACACCACACCCUCAGCCCGCUCUCCAGGUCCACACACACCCCAUCCCCCCCACACGGGACCACCACAGAGCAGGGACACCCUCACGAGUGGCCCACUCCAGGUAGGGACUCCACACACACCCCGGCACGUCACGGGGGGCACAUCCCGCCCAGCAGCACCCACCACGCAUGGUCCUGCCUGGGGUCACCUCCACCGCAGCACAGUCCGGGCUGACCCCCACAGAGUGACCCCGGAGGCCCAGGGGAGGAAUGAACGCUCCUUACUGGGAGAUCUGACUGAGGGUGUGGGAUAGGAGCUGUGGGUGCAGGAUAGGGGGCUAUGGGUGCAGGAUGAGGGGCUGUAGGUGCAGGUGGGGAGCUGUGGGUGCAGGAUGUGGGGCUGUGGGUGCAGGAUGGGGGGCUAUGGGUGCAGGAUGGGGGCUAUGGGUGCAGGAUGGGGGCUAUGGGUGCAGGAUAGGGGGCUAUGGGUGCAGCAGGGAGAGCUGUAGGUGCAGGUGGGGAGCUGUGGGUGCAGAAUGUGGGGCUGUAGGUGCAGGACAGAGGGCUGUAGGUGCAGGAUGUGGGGCUAUGGGUUCAGGUGGGGAGCUGUGGGUGCAGGAUGAGGGGCUGUGGGUGCAGGUGGGGAGCUGUGGGUGCAGAUGGGGAGCUGUAGGUGCAGGAUGUGGGGCUGUAGGUGAAGGUCGGGAGCGGUAGGUGCAGGAUGAGGGGCUGUAGGUGCAGGAUGAGGGGCUGUAGGUACAGGAGGGAGAGCUGUAGGUGCAGGAUGUGGGGCUGUAGGUGCAGGAUGCGGGGCUGUAGGUGCAGAGCCGGGGUGGGCAGGGUGGGCACGCUGCCACUGCCUGGCGGGAGUGCGGUGCCUGCCUGUCGGCUCCCAUUUGCUCUGACAUGGAUCCAUCCGUGUCCCGGACGGCGCGCGACGCUUCGCCGCGUGUUGUGAAGCGAUAACUCAGCCGCAUUUGCAAAACAACUUUCCUCUUGUUUAUUCCAUAAUGAUCCAUUGAUUGUGGGUAAUGUUGCAUGCCCUGUGCCGCAGCGGGUGCGGAGCGCUCUCCCCUGGCACGCGGCGGGGGCUCCGGCAGGCGACGGCACCGCAACCUGAGAGCGGCUGUGGCUCCCGCAGCCAAGGCAUCCUACGGGCCCAGGCUGUGGGGCUGGGUACCCCACAUCCCACCCGCACCCCACCUGCACCCUGUGCAUGGCAGCCUCUCUCCCCACACCCUCGCUCCCAGGGAGGACCGGCUGCUUUUCUCUCACCCUCCCUGGUUGUGGCCAGGCCUGACAUCAUCCAUAAUGACAGUGCGAGGCCUCUGUUCCCGGGAUGCCGGCGCUGCCGUGGCUUGUACAGGGGAGCACCUCCUGGGAACACCCCUGGGAUUCCAGAGCAGGAGCAUGGCACGUGCAGGCCACGGGGAUGGGUGCAGCCAGGGGGUGGUGGGAACCAAUCCCCUGGUGCCAGCAUUGCGCUGGUAACUGCCCCCUCCACAUCAGGGACAGAAUGUGCCUGGGGAAACCAAGGCAGGGAGCAGCGAUGGGGAGAGGGCUGGGCAUCCCCUGAUGAUUGAGCCUUGUGUUGAGCCUGCCAGGAGGAGGCAUAAUGAGCCUCCCGGGGCACCACGCUGGAUCCAUCCUGUGGCACUGGGAUAUGGUACCCAACUCUGUUGGCCAAGGGGCUCCCCUGUCCUAUCUGCCAUGGCUCCAGCCCUGGAGCAGGGCCACCAGGACACAGGAAAGGGGCUGGGAGUGGGGCCACAUGGACACAUGUGUCACCCAGUGUCACCACCAUGCCUGGCCCAGAGCACUAGUAGGGGACCAAGAGUGGAAAGACAAAUUCGUGUCCCCUGCUGGGGACAGUCUGAGGGACAAGCUGGAGCUAGACGUGCCCCAUUACCUCCCUUGGGACACAAGGGUGGGGCACGGGGUGGGCAGCACCCUGAGUAGGGUGGGUACCCACCUGCAGUGGCACCAGCGAAUGCCAGUGGUGGUACUCACAUGGUGCACAUGGCCAUGGCCACGGCACCUGGGAGCAGGUGACAAUGGACUUGGAUUGGUGCCCAUGAUGGCGGGACAAAGGUGAAGCUGUUUCGUGCUGUAAACAUCGUUUGUGCUCCGUGUGGGGCAGGUGGGGCUGGCCAGAGGCCGCUGAACUCGUGACAAAGUGUUUAUGCUUUCUCGGCUGGGGACACCCGGGACUGCCCCGGCCCUUGGCUGGGCUGACGUCACCUGUUCAAGGCUGGGGGAGGAAGAGGAGCCGUCCAGUUUGUGGCCGGGAGCGAAGACCGAGGUGACGCACGGUGCCAGCUGCGUGCAGCUGGGCAGGUCAGGUCUUCACGGAAGACGAGGAAAAUCCAACACGUUCGACUAUGUACAAGCCAGCCCGGGGCCGGCGCCGCUGCCUAUGGUACAGUAUAGAUAUAUCUCUGUAGUCGCUCUCUGUACAGUAUGUAUAGAUCUAUAUGGGUAUGUACAGACUGCCCGGCCCCGGGGGUCCCUGCUCUCAUCGGGCUCCCCCACUCGGCGCUGCCCCCGAGCCGCGGGGCAGCCGCGGGGCACCGGUGGUGCUGCGGGCCGGACCCCGCGCCCCGGGAUGGCGUCGGCGGGAGGUGCAGCGCGCCCGGCCGCAUCCCUGCGGCCGCAUCCGCUGGCGGGAUGGGAGGCGAGUCCAUCCGGGCCGGUGCGUGCCGCGAUCCCUGCCCCGCGGGGCGGCUCUGCAGGCGGCUCUCCGGGCAGGGGUGGUGGUCUCGCCGUGGUUGCCCGCCGGCUCUCACGAGGGGCAGCAGUUUGGGGGGGCCGCGCUCGGCAGAGCGGCGCUGGCCGGGCCCCCGCGGCACCCGGGAGCUACGAGGCCAA